rnacentral:misc_RNA from 1 species
CCAUCACAUCAUUUGAGUUCAAUAGCGCAUGCAAAACACGGCCCUUACUAUUUUCCCUUGAACUGGCCAUUCUCUUCAUGGGAUCCAAAAUCAUUAUUUCCUCAAAACGGCUUUCUGAAGAGUUAUUACCUCGUCUUUUGGAACUGCCUGUGUUUCGUUUUUUACCUAUACUCUUGUUUAGCUCAAUACAAUGAGAAUUGCUCUCAAUAGAACCUUCUUCAUUGGCAGUACCUCGAGGUGCACUUACAGCCUCAUUUAGUGGAAAGGAC